UCAGGCCCACCUCAGCAGCGGCUCCCUUGUCUCUCACCACCCACCACCACCCCAGGGUCCUCCAGCUGCCACUGCAGUUCAAGGGAUGCUAAGCUUCAUCUUUGAUAUCUGAAUUUUCUCUUUGAGAACUCAUCUUUGCUAUCCCUUGCUUGUUGUACAGUCUUUAAGCAAAUGUACAAAAAGUACAUCUGUGAUGUUACAAAUAUAAGCAGGGCACCAUUCUUUUUGUUAGAGCAUGGAGAAUCUGGUUCUGGAUGGUGAUGGACUCCAAACCCUGGCAGACCUCGGGAUCUCCUUCACAUUUACACAUUUCAGUACAUCUCAAACCAUUUGUCAGACAUGUGCAGGGUGGAGAACAUCUUCUUUGGCUACAUGAACAUUUCAAUAUAAUGAGAGGUGCACAUGGCGUUCUACAUACUAUUGCUGACAUCCAGACUAAACUCGGUGCAAAAAACAAAGGUGUGAACACACCAUAAGGAGCUGAACAGAUGCUGAAAGGUGCACAGUCAUUUGCAUUCUCGGUUUGCUUGCACAAGCACUACAGUACAUUUGUGCAACAAGGACAGCAGGACAGGAUGUGGAGGCCUACUUCUGUGCACCCUAUCUCCAAGAUAGCGUACAGAAGCUUGGUCUUCUUUGCAUCAUUCCCUGAAACAUAUAUCGACCG